rnacentral:rRNA from 1 species
UGGCUCAGGAUAAACGCUGGCGGCGUGCCUAAUGCAUGCAAGUCGAACGAAGUAGCAAUACUUAGUGGCAAACGGGUGAGUAACACGUGGGAAUCUGCCCAAUGGUGGGGAAUAACUUUGCGAAAGCAAAGCUAAUACCGCAUAGCCUCCCUUCAAAAGGAGGAAAGCAGCAAUGCGCCAAUGGAGGAGCCUGCGGCUGAUUAGCUAGUUGGUGGGUAAAGCCUACCAAGGCGAUGAUCAGUAGCUGGUCUGAGAGGACGAACAGCCACACUGGGACUGAGACACGGCCCAGACUUCUACGGAAGGCAGCAGCAAGGAAUUUUCGGCAAUGGAGGAAACUCUGACCGAGCAACGCCGCGUGGGUGAAGAAGUCUUUCGGGAUGUAAAACCCUUUUCUCUGGGAAGAAUGGAAGACGGUACCAGAGGAAUAAGCACCGGCAAACUACGUGCCAGCCGCCGCGGUAAU